UCGCCAGUAGUGUAGUGGUCAACACACUCACUCGUACAGUGAGAGAUGCCGGUUCAAACCCGGUCUGACGAG